AUAGGAUAGUAACUGUAAAUAAAUGUUCCUUCAAACAAAACAAACAAAAAAAUAGUGAAUGAAAAAAAACAUGAAACAUUUUUAUGAUUUUUUAAAUUUUUUGCGUCCAAAACUAUUGUCGAAAUCCUCCUCCUCACUACACUCGAUUUGAUAAAUAUGUUCUGCUUUUCUUUUAACUAAAUUUUUAUCAUUGGCAAAACCAAUCCAAUCACUCUCAACCCACUCUGGAUAGUGUUUAAAAACUUCAAUUAUAGAAUCACGCCAAGUAAAUGAAGGUCUGCCUUUUUUCUUUUUAUUCAAACACAAAUUUGCUGCUAACUUCAAAGGAUGUAAUGAGUCCCUUCUCUGAAUGUGAGCCCAAUAACAAAUCUUUAGAAUUCUUAUAAUUUUUACUGCAGUUUUACCAUCCAAUAAUUGUGAUACUGAUAAUGAACUUGAAGGUCUAUCACGACAUGUGUUGAGGCCGCUCACUGCCGCGACGGGGUCGACACCAUGCUGCUGUGUGGGAACGAACGCCGCGUCGACAUCUCACGCGCGUGAGACGUGAGGAAGAAGGAAGAAACAAUGACGAAACACACGAGCAGAGGGACGACAAAUCAAAACAAAGUCACAACCCAAAUUUAUGAGCACAAGUUGGUCAGGGAAAAGAAAGUGGAGUGAUUUUCGGAUAAUUAGGAGGAAGUUUGAGGAUUAGGAUUUUGAUUUAGAAUCGAGGAUUCGGGAGAGGAGUUUGUGGGCCGGGUGAACAACAAGUAGACGGACACAAAUUCGUAAGUUGUUAUUUAAUUUGAAACAAACAGUGAAAUAAAUAACACAAAGUUCAUGCAACACGAAACAGGAACCACACGCGGAUAAAUCCGGGUGGUGAUUCACGGAGGGAGGACAAGACGGUUUAGGACGGAACAGGACAGAACCGCUGUCUUUGUACGAGUAAGUUCGAAACAGAUAAACAUGAAAAAUAUAACAAACAAAAACAUGCAAAAUCUGUACUAACAUGUAAAACCGAACACGCUGUUAAACAUAACCUAAAAUUACAGCUACAACACAAACGUAGAACACAAAUCCGGAUCGGGUUGGACGGAAAACAGGAAACAAACAAAUUGUAAGCACAAUUACACACACACUACACACACAUUGUACUAAACUUAAAUCUAAUUUGCAGCUUUGAUCUGCCUUAAAUAAAUUGGGCUGAUUCGCAAGGAGGUUUAUUUCCGUUGGCGUCCAGAACAUCAUCAAAGAAUUUGUUUCCGGCGUGGAACGGUUCAGGAUGGCCCCCAAACCCAAGCCGGAUGUUCUAGCCGACUGCGUAGUCUGCGGCAAACCGAAGGGUGACGACGCUGAGACGGUGGAGUGCGAAGCUUGCCGGCUUUGGGCACAUUUGGCGUGCGCUGGAGAAACGGGAAAAGUUGAGAACUACUUUUGCCCGAACUGUUCUCAGUCGCUGCAAGUGCCAAAGACCCGGAAGAACGCCAAGAAGCCGAAAAGCGAUGCGGGCACUACUUCCGGCGCUGCUGACCUGCCAAAGGACGUGCUGGAACAGUUGGAGUUGGAACGAGUUGAGCGGGAGAAGAAGAUGGCCCAGGAGGUGAUGAUCCGUAUGAAGCGGAUCGAGAUGGAGAAGAGUUUUGCCGAGCAGGAGCUCCGGAUCGAGAGAGAGAUGCAGGAGAGGGAGUUUGCGGCGGCGAACGAGGUGCGCGCGCUGAAGCUCAAGAUGGAGCAGGAGUUUUUAGAUAAGCAGAAGGCUGCGGAGGAAGAGUUCCUCGCGAAGCAGAAGGAGCUCAAGAAGCUCGUCAAGAAGAGCAAGCAGAAGCUUGAGAAGGCCGCGGUGGAUCCACCGGCUGGCAAGGGCGAGGGAGCGGGCGCGGGCUCGACGGACACUCCGAAGGGGGUUCUAGAAAAGCCGAAGUUACCCGUCCCCAAACUCAGCGAUUCCGAUCCCGACAGCAGUGGUGAUGAGAGCGAUGAGAAGGAGGACCCGACGACACCGGUUUCUGGAUCGCGCGAGGUCUCUGACGGGCCGGGGAAACCGGUCACGAAGUUGACGAAGGAGCAGUUGGCGGCUAGACAAGCAAUGUCGCGACAUCUGCCGAAGUUCUCCGGGGAGCCGGAGGUGUGGCCUCUCUUCAUAAGCAGCUUCAAGUACACCACUGAAGCCUGCGGCUUCACGAACGUCGACAACUUGAAGAGGUUGGUGGAUUGUCUCGAAGGGCCAGCGCUGACGUUGGUGCAGGGUCGGCUCGUGCUGCCGGAUGCGGUGCCGGAUGUCAUCGAAGACUUGCGACACAUGUUUGGCCGGCCGGAGAAGCUGCUUCGGGCGCUUUUGCAGAAGGUUCGGAACGCGCCAGCUCCCACGAGCGACAAUCUCGACACGUUCAUCCAUUUCGGGAUCACCAUCAAGCAAGUGUGUGAUCACCUGGAAGUUUCGGGCAUGAAGGACCAUCUGAACAACCCGAUGCUGGUCCAGGAGCUGGUUGAAAGGUUGCCGACAAGUCAUCAGCUCGACUGGGUGCGCUACAGGCGGGGAAAGGUCAACACUCCGCUGAGAAUACUGUCCGAUUUCUUGUCGGAACUGGUCGAAGAUGUGUCGGAGGUGGCCGAGUUUGCGGCGCUCUCGCUUCAGGAGCCGACGAAAGCACAAGGCGGGAAGGGCAAGCGGAACGAGUUCGUGCACCUGCACGAAGCGACGAGAGAGAAAGCGGCGGGUGGCAGAACGAGCAUGGCUUGCUACGUUUGUAAACAAACCAACCACUUGAUACGGAACUGUAGCGAGUUCAGAGGAAUGCGGGUGCCUGAGCGCAUGAAGACCGUGGAGCGCUUGAAGCUUUGCACGGUUUGCUUGAGCAGCCAUGGCAACAGCGCGUGCCAUUCGAAGAUGCGCUGCCAGAUCGGAAAUUGUCGAGGACAACAUCAUCCGCUACUUCACCGCGAGGAAGCUGCGAGGCAGUUCCAACGGGUUGACUGCAACACGCACAAGGUCGACGGCGGGGUGAUCUUCCGGACAAUUCCAAUCACCAUGUACGCGGGGAGCAAGGCGUUCAACACUCUGGCGUUCCUGGACGAAGGAUCGUCGAGUACACUCAUGGAGGAGUACGUGGCCAACAAGCUGGGAGUGCAAGGAAAGCUGGAGCCGCUGGUCGUGUCCUGGACUGCCGAGAUCGAUCGGCACGAGAAUCAAUCUCGUCGGGUGAGCCUGACGCUGGCGGCCAGAGGUUCGAGAGAGAUGUUCCAAUUGGAGAACGUGCGGACGGUUUCGAAGCUGCAGUUGCCGCAGCAAGAUGUGAGAUUUGCGGAGGUGCAGAAGCGGUACGGUCAUCUGGCGGGCGUGCAGGUUGCAGAGCAGGUCAAAGAGAAACCGACCAUCUUGAUCGGGCUUGACAACAUCCAUCUCUUCGCGCCGCUGGAAUCAAGAGUCGGUCAACAAGGCGAACCGAUUGCUGUCCGUUCAAAGCUCGGCUGGACUGUGUACGGACCUGAUACACCCAAGCCCUUGGUGCACACGUUCCUGAAUCUGCAUGUCGUCAAGCCGGCCAGCAACCAAGAACUCCACGACAUGAUGAGGGACCAGUACGUCCUGGACGAAGCUGGUGUUGCGUCGUUUGCGGUGCCGGAGUCUGCCGAAGAACAACGAGCGAAGAAGAUCUUGGAGACGACGACGAAGCGCACCGGAGAGCGGUUCGAAACCGGUCUGCUGUGGCGCGAGGACGAGCGGCGAUUUCCGGACAGCUACCCGAUGGCAACGCGGCGGCUGCAGGCGUUGGAGAGGAAGCUGGACAAGAACCCGGCGUUGAAGCAGAACGUCUCUCAACAGAUCGCGGAGUACCAGAGCAAGGGGUACGCGCACAAAGCAACGGCCGAGGAGCUGAAGACGCCCAGCAACGCCGUUUGGUAUCUGCCACUGAACGUCGUCCUGAACCCUCGGAAGCCGGACAAGACAAGACUGAUUUGGGACGCGGCGGCGUCGGUGCGGGGUGUCUCGCUGAACUCACAGCUGCUCAAGGGACCGGACAUGUUGGUGCCGCUGCCACGAGUUGUGUGUCGUUUCCGGGAGAGACCGAUCGCGCUGGGUGGGGACAUCCAAGAAAUGUACCAUCAGAUCAGGAUCAGAGAGGAGGACAAGCAAGCUCAACGCUUCCUGUUCCGCGAGAACCCUGCCGACGCUCCGCAGGUGUACGUCAUGGACGUAGCAACGUUCGGGUCGGCUUGCUCCCCAAGUUCGGCUCAGUUCGUGAAGAACCUGAACGCGGACCAGUAUGCGGAGGAGUUCCCGGAGGCAGCUGCGGCGAUUAAGGAGCGACACUACGUGGACGAUUACUACGACUCGGUGGACACGGUCGAGGAAGCGAUUCGGCGGGCCAACGAGGUGAAGUUCAUCCACUCGAAAGGAGGUUUCAACAUCCGGAACUGGGUGUCGAACUCGAGGAAGGUGCUGGACGCGAUGGGAGAACAAAGCGUGAAGACAUCCGUGCACUUCAACCAGGAAAAGUCGGCUUUCUACGAGCGUGUACUCGGCAUAGUCUGGGAACCGGAUCAGGACGUGUUCUGUUUCGCGGUGGCCUCGAAGCCGGAGUUCCGCGACGUUCUGGCGGGAGAGCGACGUCCAACCAAGCGGAUCGUGCUGAGUGUGGUCAUGGCGCAAUUCGAUCCAGCGGGAUUCCUAGGACCGAUCACCAUUCUCGGGAAGAUCCUGGUGCAAGAUCUGUGGCGCACGGGGUGCGAGUGGGACGAAAUGAUCGACGAGCUGGCUUUCCAGAGGUGGCUGCGUUGGAUCAACAUUUUGGCGGAUGCGAAGCACUUCAAACUACCAAGGUGCUACUUCGGGAACGCGCGGUGGGACGAGAUUGAGGAGAUUCAGCUGCACAUCUUCGCUGAUGCGGGUGACAAGGCAUACGGAUGCGUGGCGUACUUCCGAGCGAUUGUCCGGGGCGAAGUGGUUGUGGCGCUGGUGAUGAGUCGGUCCAAGGUGGCGCCGCUGAAGAUGCUAUCCAUCCCGCGUCUGGAGCUGGAGUCGUGUGUACUUGCGGCGCGCAUGUCCCAGGCGAUUCACGACAACCACAGUUUCCCUAUCAGCAAGACCUUUUUCUGGACUGAUUCGGCGGUCGUCCUGUCGUGGAUCCGCUCCGAUCAGCGUCGCUACAAACAGUUCGUCGGGUUUCGGAUCGGUGCCAUUUUGAGCAUGACGUCGCUGAUGGAUUGGAACUUCGUACCGACACAACACAACAUCGCCGACAUCCUGACGAAGUGGGGAAAGGAUCCGAACGUCCGGCCUGACAGUCCGUGGGUCUGCUGCCCGAGGUUCAUCCACGAUCAGCAAGUAAACUGGCCGAAGAAAAGUUUGCCCCCACCGAACACCACGGAGGAACUUCGCGUGCAUCUCCUUCUACACGACGUGAAGGUGGUGGACACCAUCGUGGAGGUGAACCACUUCUCAAGGUGGACGAUGUUGGUGAGGACCAUGGCGUGCGCUCACCGUUUCGUGUCGAACCUCAAGCGGAAAACGAAAGGGCUGCCGAUGGAGACGCUGCGUGCGACGAAGGCGCAGGCGAAGAUGCUGAGACCGACGACGGUACCGUCGGUUCGAGUUGCGUUGCAGCAAGACGAGUACAAGCAGGCGGAGGUGUACCUGCUGAAGAUGGUGCAGGCGGAGAGCUUCAUCGACGAGGUGAAAGUGCUGACCAGGAACAAGGAUCGUCCGGCGGAUCAGUGGCUCGCCCUCGAAAAGUCAAGUCCGCUGUACAAGCUGACUCCACUGGUCGACGAAGACGGCUUGCUGCGGAUGGAAGGGAGAACCGAGAACGCGGAGUUUCUGCCUUUCGAUCUGAGAUUCCCAGUGAUUCUACCGAAGGAUCACCACGUCACCCGGAUGAUUGUCCAGCACUACCAUCAGAAGUUCGGGCACGGAUAUCGCGAGACGAUCAAGAACGAGCUGCGCCAGCGUUUCUUCAUUCUGGGGGUCAACACACUGGUUCGACAAGUGGCGGCGGCGUGCGUCUGGUGCAAGGUGCACCGCAAUCAGCCGUUGGUGCCAAGGAUGGCGGCGCUUCCUGUGCAACGCAUCACACCGAAUCUUCGCCCGUUCAGCUACGUUGGGGUUGAUUAUCUGGGUCCGCUCGACGUGUCAGUUGGACGCCGGUCCGAGAAGCGUUGGGUGGCGCUGUUUACAUGCUUCGUCACGCGUGCAGUGCAUCUGGAGGUGGCGUAUGGGCUGACGGCACAAACGUGUCUGAUGGCGAUUCGUCGUUUCAUCUGUCGUCGAGGCCCUCCGGUCGAAUUCUUCUCCGACAACGGAACGAACUUUCGGGGCGCGAGCAAGGAGCUGGUGGAGACGGUGCGGAGCAUCGGGAACGACUGCGCCGAGGUGCUGACAACGUCGCGAACGAAGUGGACCUUCAACCCACCCGCUGCACCCCACAUGGGGGGUGUUUGGGAGCGUUUGGUCCGCUCUGUGAAGGAGGCGCUGGAGGCGUUGGACGACGGGCGGCGGCUGACGGACGAGAUUCUGGUGACCUGUCUGGCGGAAGCGGAGGACAUGAUCAACUCACGUCCGCUGACGUACGUGGCUCAGGAAUCAUCGCAAGCGGAGGCCCUCACACCAAAUCACUUCAUCCGAGGAGUUUCACCGAACGAACCCAACACGGUCCCGCCAUCCCCUCACCCUGCAGAAGCUCUACGUGACGCCUACAAGCGGUCGCAACAGUUGGCAGAUGUGAUGUGGCAGCGCUGGAUCAAGGAGUACGUGCCGUCGGUGAAUCAACGCACGAAGUGGUUCGGUGAGUCGAGGCCGCUGAAGGCGGGCGACCUGGUCUACAUCGUCGACGGGAAGAACAGGAAGUCCUGGAUCCGCGGAGUGGUCGAAGAGCCGAUCGUGUCCGGCGACGGGAGGAUUCGCCAAGCAUGGGUGCGAACCACCAGCGGGCUGGUGAAGCGCGCGACAGCGAGGCUGGCCGUGCUGGAGAUCGAAGGUAAACCUGCUUCAGAAGCUUCGGAACCGGGUUUACGGGCCGGGGGAUGUUGAGGCCGCUCACUGCCGCGACGGGGUCGACACCAUGCUGCUGUGUGGGAACGAACGCCGCGUCGACAUCUCACGCGCGUGAGACGUGAGGAAGAAGGAAGAAACAAUGACGAAACACACGAGCAGAGGGACGACAAAUCAAAACAAAGUCACAACCCAAAUUUAUGAGCACAAGUUGGUCAGGGAAAAGAAAGUGGAGUGAUUUUCGGAUAAUUAGGAGGAAGUUUGAGGAUUAGGAUUUUGAUUUAGAAUCGAGGAUUCGGGAGAGGAGUUUGUGGGCCGGGUGAACAACAAGUAGACGGACACAAAUUCGAACCACACGCGGAUAAAUCCGGGUGGUGAUUCACGGAGGGAGGACAAGACGGUUUAGGACGGAACAGGACAGAACCGCUGUCUUUGUACGAGUAAGUUCGAAACAGAUAAACAUGAAAAAUAUAACAAACAAAAACAUGCAAAAUCUGUACUAACAUGUAAAACCGAACACGCUGUUAAACAUAACCUAAAAUUACAGCUACAACACAAACGUAGAACACAAAUCCGGAUCGGGUUGGACGGAAAACAGGAAACAAACAAAUUGUAAGCACAAUUACACACACACUACACACACAUUGUACUAAACUUAAAUCUAAUUUGCAGCUUUGAUCUGCCUUAAAUAAAUUGGGCUGAUUCGCAAGGAGGUUUAUUUCCGUUGGCGUCCAGAACAACAUGAAUCCCAAAUUUCUCUCACAAUUUGAUUUUCAAAACGAGUUAUAGAAAGUCUGUUUCUUUUAAGAAUAGUAGCUGAUUAAAAAACCGUAAAUCAUAGAAGGCAAAAUCACCGUUUUAUACAUAAGUUUACCUAGACGCCAAGUAGGUUUAUAACGUUUACAAAAAGCUAUAACCAUUUUUGCAAUUUUCAUUGUGGAUGAACAACGGAUACGUGUGGUCAAUGGCCUUGCUAAAUCAGUCGUUAAAUAACUACCCAGAUACCUCAAUUUGUCUACAACAGGGAAUGGUUCAUUGUCUAACAAAAGGCUAUUAGGAGUAAUGCAAUCUUUAGACAGAUGUCUGAUAAGAAUAUUACUUUUAUCUUUAUUGAUUUCUAAUCCUACACGUGCAAAAGCCAUUUUCAAAUGUUUGAUUAUUAGAUCAAGAUCUCUAACACUAUUCGUAAUUACCAAAAGGUCAUCAGCAAAAGCUAGGAUAAUAGGCAGCUUCAUAUUGUUUUGAUCUAAUAAAUUCAGUUUCUUAAUUAUUUUUUUAACCUCAAUCAGAACCCACUGUAUUAUUAAAAUGAAAAGAAACGGAGACAUACUGCAACCUUGCUUAAUGCCCCUAUUUUUAACAAAUUCAAUUUAAAUGUGCUAAUUGUGGUAAAAAGCAAAGUAAUCCACUUUAACGACCCCCGGGUCUUUUGUGGUCUCUGUUGCAAGUUUCUGCUCAUUUCUAGGCGUUCGAAGGUUAUGUGUGGUGAGUCAUCCAAAACCUCUUUUACGCUAAUGGACCGACGUUUUACUUCCCCAUCCGAUAGAAGACGUGGCCAGGCAAAUCUCGUAUCGAAAAAUGCCACCGGGUCCGUCUGGGAUUGAACCUAGGCCAUACUGGGGUUUAGAGGCUACCACACUAACCACUAAACCACCACCCCGUGGUGGAAAUCAUAAAUAAAAUUUCUGGGAUUGCACCAUCAGAAAAAAAGGUUUUGGAUUCUCGUGCUAAGCAUCAGCCGAAAUCCAAACCGAAAUUUUCUCUAAGUCAGGUUGUACCUGCAACUUUAAAUCAAACGUUUUUGCUAUCUCCCUCUAAUGAGAGAGCUAGACAAAAUACUUCUACCAUUGAAAUAGGCAACGGUAUUUCCUAUGUUGCAGUAGGGUGUAAUAUGGUUGUAUGGAAAAAAAAAGUUGUCAAAAUUUAGUGAGCACAGCAAUUUUUCAGUUCCUUUUUGGGUCCUAAACAACUCCCCAAAGUUUGAGAACGAUUGGUUCAGUCCUCACAUUGCGCAAAGCGAUUCAAUUUUCCAUAUAAAUCUGUAAUUAGGGAUUAAAAAAAGGAAAUUAAUAAAUAAAAACACAACUUGUUAACAAACAACAACAACACACAAACUGUGGGACAAACCAACAACCAUUGACAGUAUUGUCUUCGUCUUAAAACAUCGCAAAGGGGUGGUAGACAACGCCCAAAAGUGACGUGACGUAAUGUCGUGUCAUCGACCAAAAGGCUUAAAGGGACGAGAAUUAGACCGCCAACGGUCACAUUCUCCCAGGCAAAUGAGCGAUCUAUGAUUAUUAAAUUUUUUAAUUUUUUUAAAUUUUUUAAAUUUUUUAAAUUUUUUAGAUUUUUUAA